rfam:Thermincola sp. JR, complete genome.
UCCGGUGACAAUAGCGAGAGGGACACACCCGUUCCCAUCCCGAACACGGCAGUUAAGCCUCUCAGCGCCGAUGGUACUUGGCGGGGGACCGCCUGGGAGAGUAGGUCGUUGCCGGAU